CCUGUCUCCGCCAGUCCACCUCUCCGGUCUCCGAGCUCCGCCUUCAGGCUCCAGAUGGGGACCGCAGCUAGACCAAGCUACUUACAAGAACUGUCAGCGUCUUUAUCUUUCCGAACAGUUGUCAAACCUAGGGUUGCAGCUGCAGAGCACAUAUCACAGUUCAAUGAAGAAGCACGCUCUCCUUUUGUAAAGAAGUAUAAAACUAUAAUACAUCCUGGAGAGGUAUGCAAUACAUCAAAAGUAACUUUGUUUAUAGUCUUUUCUUGUUGAUAAGUCUGCAGGA